UACGUAGGUGGCAAGCGUUAUCCGGAUUUAUUGGGCGUAAAGAGAACGCAGGCGGUCUUUUAAGUCUGAUGUGAAAGCCUUCGGCUUAACCGGAGUAGUGCAUUAGAAACUGGGAGACUUGAGUGCAGAAGAGGAGAGUGGAACUCCAUGUGUAGCGGUGAAAUGCGUAGAUAUAUGGAGGAACACCGGUGGCGAAAGCGGCUCUCUGGCCUGUAACUGACACUGAGGCUCGAAAGCGUGGGGAGCAAACAGG
rnacentral:rRNA from 1 species